rnacentral:rRNA from 1 species
GGACGGGUGCGUACACGUAGGAAUUUACCUUUAGUGAAGAAAUACUUCGAGAAAUCGAAGUUAAUGCUGCAUAAGUCCCUUCGGGGAGAAAGACGGGCUCUUGCUGUCGCUAAAGGAUUAAGCUGCGGUCUAUUAGCUUGUUGGUAGGGUAAAAGCCUACCAAGGCAAUGAUGGAUAGCCGACCUGAGAGGGUGAUCGGCCACACUGGAACUGAGAUACGGUCCAGACUCCUACGGGAGGCAGCAGUGGGGAAUAUUGCACAAUGGGCGAAAGCCUGAUGCAGCGACGCCGCGUGGAGGAUGAAUGUCUUCGGAUUGUAAACUCCUGUUAAGAGGGAAGAAAUCUCUAUGGGUAAUAUACAUAGAGGAUGACGGUACCUCUGGAGAAAGCUCCGGCUAACUUCGUGCCAGCAGCCGCGGUAAUACGAAGGGAGCUAGCGUUAUUCGGAAUUACUGGGCGUAAAGAGCGUGUAGGCGGCUUGUUAAGUCGGCUGUUAAAUCUCCCAGCUUAACUGGGAAUCGGCAGUUGAUACUGGCUCGCUAGAGGGCAGAAGAGAGAAGUGGAAUUCUCGGAGUAGCGGUAAAAUGCGUAGAUCUCGAGAGGAACACCAGUUGCGAAGGCGGCUUCUUGGUCUGCUUCUGACGCUAAAGCGCGAAAGCGUGGGUAGCAAACAGGAUUAGAUACCCUGGUAGUCCACGCCGUAAACGAUGAUCACUAGAUGUGGGUUCUGCUUAGCAGGAUCUGUGUCGUAGCUAACGCGUUAAGUGAUCCGCCUGGGGAGUACGGUCGCAAGAUUAAAACUCAAAGGAAUUGACGGGGGUCCGCACAAGCGGUGGAACAUGUGGUUUAAUUCGACACUACGCGAGGAACCUUACCUAGAUUUGACAUGUAAUUGACCGCCAUAGAAAUAUGGUUUUUCAAGUUUUCUUGAACAGUUACACAGGUGCUGCAUGGCUGUCGUCAGCUCGUGUCGUGAGAUGUUGGGUUAAGUCCUUUAACGAGCGCAACCCUUGCUGUCAGUUGCUACCCUUUUUAGGGGCACUCUGACGGGACUGCCUGGGAAACCAGGAGGAAGGUGGGGAUGACGUCAAGUCCUCAUGGCCUUUAUGUCUAGGGCUACACACGUGUUACAAUGGCUAGUACAAAAGGGCGCGAAGCCGCGAGGUGGAGCAAAACCUAUAAAGCUAGUCUAAGUUCGGAUUGGAGUCUGAAAUUCGACUCCAUGAAGCUGAAAUCGCUAGUAAUCGCAUAUCAGAACGAUGCGGUGAUACGUUCUCGGACCUUGUACACACCGCCCGUCACACCACGAAAAUCAUCUAUACCCAAAAUCUCCUUAGCUAACC